rnacentral:rRNA from 1 species
GUGGGGAAUAUUGGACAAUGGGCGAAAGCCUGAUCCAGCGAUGCCGCGUGUGUGAAGAAGGUCUUCGGAUUGUAAAGCACUUUAAGUUGGGAGGAAGGGUAGUAACCUAAUACGUUGCUACUUUGACGUUACCGACAGAAUAAGCACCGGCUAACUUCGUGCCAGCAGCCGCGGUAAUACGAAGGGUGCAAGCGUUAAACGGAAUUACUGGGCGUAAAGCGCGCGUAGGUGGUGCAGUAAGUUGGAAGUGAAAUCCCCGGGCUCCACCUGGGAACUGCUUUCAAAACUGCGGAGCUAGAGCACGGUAGAGGGUGGUGGAAUUUCCUGUGUAGCGGUGAAAUGCGUAGAUAUAGGAAGGAACACCAGUGGCGAAGGCGACCACCUGGACUGAUACUGACACUGAGGUGCGAAAGCGUGGGGAGCAAACAGGAUUAGAAACCCUUGUAGUCC